GGGCACUCGUGCGGCUCUCAGCGCCCUCGGUUUGCAAGACGAGGGACGCGGCGCGCUCGGAGCUUGCGUGGCUUGACGCAGCCACAGCUGUGAGGAAAUGAAGUCGCCGCGAGGCAGCCAGUUCAAGCCCCGGUCUCCAGACGUUGCCCCGUAGCUGCCGAGAUGGUCUCGAACACCUUGGCUCAAGCAACCCUCCCGCCUCAGCCUCCCAAAACGCCGGGAAUAGGUAUGAAUCACCACACCCGACGAAUUUUUCUUACUAAGUAAAUGUUUUAGUGUCCUGAAA